CUAAAUGUGAUAUGAGGUCCCGCCUGCCCUGUGACUAUAUGUUUAACGGCCGCGGUAUUUUGACCGUGCGAAGGUAGCGCAAUCACUUGUCUUUUAAAUGAAGACCUGUAUGAAUGGCACCACGAGGGCUUAGCUGUCUCCCUCUCCCAGUCAAUGAAAUUGAUUUCCCCGUGCAGAAGCGGGGAUAAAAACAUAAGACGAGAAGACCCUAUGGAGCUUAAGACGCCAGGACAGCUCAUGUUAAACACUCCAGAACAAAGGAUAUAAACUAAAUGAAACCCUGCCCCAGUGUCUUUGGUUGGGGCGACCACGGGGAAAAACUUAACCCCCAUGUGGAAUAGGAAUACUAUUUUCCUAGACUCAAGAGCUCCCGCUCUAAUAAACAGAACUUCUGACCAAAAAGAUCCGGCAAUGCCGAUCAACGGACCGAGUUACCCUAGGGAUAACAGCGCAAUCCUCUUAAAGAGUCCCUAUCGACAAGGGGGUUUACGACCUCGAUGUUGGAUCAGGACAUCCUAAUGGUGCAGCCGCUAUUAAGGGUUCGUUUGUUCAACGAUUAAAGUCCUACGUGAUCUGUUUU
rnacentral:rRNA from 1 species